GGCAACGUGGCCGAGUGGUUAUGGCGGUAGACUCAAGUCUCUUGGCUGCUUCAAGCAGUCUGCAUUCUACUGGAGCAAUCCGCAUGGGUUCGAGUCCCAUCGUUGUCA
rfam:Neofusicoccum parvum TCRNP2 chromosome Tnknown NP2_03_scaffold_1154, whole genome shotgun sequence.